UUCUCAAAGAGGUUGAACGUCCGAUGCAUCAGAAGUGGAAUCUGCUGUUAUUUACUCAAUAUGUUAUUAACUCUUGAGGAGACCUAUCAGCUAUUUGGUGACAACUUAAUGUAAGCAAGUUAUGUCUUCUCUGAGGUGCAUUUAUGUAACUGGGAUAAACUAAGGCAUAACUAACGCUUCAAACUUCUCUUUGGAUCAGGCUGACACCACCUUCCAGGGCCUGCCUUUGCCUGAAAUAGCGCCUGAUUAGCUUCAACCUCUUCCUUGUCUUGGAUCCUGCACUCCUGUAUUGAGUUCUCCUGGAAGCACUUUCCUAUUAAACCACUUACACCUGAAUCCUCUGGUUAGGAUCUACUUCCGGGGAAUCCAGCCCGAGACCCUGGCAAACCCAAGGCUUUUCCACCAGCCCCGUCUCCUCAGGAUUUGCCCGCUGCCUUCUGUGUCAGUCUCCAGCACUGCGGCGCGAGAAUUCUGGAUUGCUGAUCCAUUCUUCUUCAUCCACUAAUGCUGAGAAGGGACAGCAAACUCUGUACCAACAAAUGAGAUUACUCCACCCUUGGCUCCGAAAGAGAGGAGAAGACAUGGGGGUCAACGAUCGCAGAUGAAGAUCCAACACCUGGUUCACCUCACUACAUUCUGAGAAGGAAGUAUCUCUCUGUAAUCAAGGAGACUGGAAUGAAACCUCCUUUAGAAGACUUUACAAUUUCCUCAUUUCAGUCACCGCGGAUCCACACUGUGUACGUUUACAUUCUAAAAAUAGUAGUUAUAAAAUAAUUCAGUAAAGAGCUGGUUUCUGCAAGAUAUUCUCAGUUCUAUUAUGCUAAUAUCACAAUCCGAUCUACUCAAUCUGUGAGGAACUUUUUCCAAGAAUAUUUCAUGGGCAAAACAGAAUUCACUAAGUUUGCCACUGGUUUCUAAUCUAUUACCAUCAACUUAAUUACAGUCUCUGGGAAGAACAUUGGGAAAGUUCUUAGGAGCGUUUAAACACUUUUUUGGGGAGCACCUAAUAUUAAAUUCAGAAAACAUUGCCAAUUUGUUAACUUUUCCAAACACCUCAAGAGAUGGAUUCUGUUAUCUUACUAAGAAAAAUAGUAUUUCUACAGGGUCAUCAUCCUUUUAAGAAGGUGAACCUCAAAUGCCUUUGGUGAUAUUUUAUGCUCUAUACCUGUGCUAUCCAAUACAGUAAUUAUGAGCCACCUGCGGCUGUUCAGCACUGGCAAUAAGGCUGGUUCACAC